rnacentral:tRNA from 1 species
UCCCUGUUGGCUUAGUUGGUAAAGAAUCUGCCUGCAAUGCAGGAGACCUGGGUUUGCUCCCUGGGUUGGGAG